GGCUUCAUAGCUCAGUUGGCUAGAGCGUUGGCUGUACUACAGCCAUCCCCUUGCUGGCGUGGGUUCGAAUCCCACC
rnacentral:tRNA from 1 species